CCCGAACCUGGAGGCAACUCGCGCCUGGCUCCCACGCCCCCCCACCUCCGCUGUCAACAAGAAGCAUUUUGUUGCUUCUUAGGGUUAGAAGAACUGAGCUAGCAAGAGUCUGUACUGUCUGUGCCUGACAGGAGAAUUUUCGAAAAGCUCAGAGCCACUGGUUGCACAAAUACCUGACUCCAGUAGCUCAGGAAGACUAUCAAAGAUGGGAAGUCAGCCUGCAAGCCCGAAGUGAGAGCUCACUUGCAGUUCUCCCUUUAGCCUAGAGGUUUCCUAGGCAACCACUUAAGCAGUAAUUAAAGAUGAAGAACUAAAAGCAUCAUCCAUUCAAGAAUAGAUCUGCUGAGCCCCUGUAGUAAACUGUGCCAAUCAAAUGAGCAGGUCCACCUCAGGGGCUGUGGUUUUUGUGAGAGAAGGUUAAAGAGAAAACUGCAGAGGGAGCAGGACCAGAGUGGGCCAAGUGUCAGCUGUGGUGCUUAUCCGAACAUCCAGGGUAAAAAAGGGGAAAAUGGUAGCAACUCUGGCCCUUUUAACGGAACACAGGAAAUCACCAACAACCAGGCUGUCUUGCAAAAAAAUAACGCUCCUGUCUCAGCUCAGGAAGCGGGCAGGAAGCUCAUGAGGUUCCCAGUCAGGAUGCAAAGACCGAGGCAGCCCUGGAGCUCCAGAUACCCAGCCCAGAAGUCACAUCACCAGCAUGUCAAUGGCUUGUGGACAUAGUCAUGGGAUAAGAAUGGACGUUAAUACAGAGUUAAGGACCAACACUGCAGCUGACUCCUUCCUUCUCUCUGUGAUUGCUGCUUACAUUACAAAUGGGUUACUGCAUGGUUUGAAGAACCCUCCGUUAGAUCACAGACUGGCUUCACAGGGCUCCAAAGGAGCAAGAUUGAAGAAAAAUAUAGCUGCCUUCCUUUCCCUAAGCCCCCUGCUGGCAGAACUGGAAAUCUACCACUCCACACUCACACUAGAGAGUCUUACAGGAGGACCGAGACCUGAAGAGUCCUCGGCUCUACUGGGCUGCCCAAGGCUCUGGCCUGUGCCUGUUGAACCAGCCCCAUGCCUGUGGGAAGUUUGCCUCUGCUCAUCGUCGGACACCACAAGGCUGACCACACUGCAUGACACCAUUCUGAACCCUGCCCCAUGCUCUCACCAUCUGAGUCACCAGCCAGACCAAAUAGCUACUUCCCUGGAAGAUUGACAACCAGCUUCUUACCAAGCUUACCAUACAAGAGCCUUCCCAGAUUGCUUUGCACACAUCUUGGUCACAUACGUGGCCAUUCAGCACACCUGUGGUCCAUUGGUUUCUCCUGGUGCAGGGUGUAUGUCCAACACAACCCCUUUCUGCUGGACUUGGAGGAAUUUGACCACUGUUCCCUCUCUCCCUGAUGACCUUUCAAGCCAUAGUGUUGUUGAUCCCGUAUAUAUGGAAACAUUGUGCACACAUCAUGAGUGAAGUCAGCUCCGUGGAAUGCCCUGGAUCCCCGAGAGUCAUUAGAAGCACUGUUCCUAAGGGAAGACGAACUCCAAUCCUAAACCAAUAGGAUAUCUGGUGACUUCUAUGGGAACCACAAGGACUUCAUCUUUCUAUUAUCUACUCUGCCUUCCACCACAGUCACUGGUCGACAAGUGACCAAUUAAAAGGACCAUCCUGCUCAUCCAGGAACAAGUGACAGAGGUCUAAGGUGUGUAAGGAAGAAGACAGAGGCGGCAGAGAUGGACAACUGCUGGCUAAGCUUGGUGACAAACAGGCCUGAAGAUGAAGGUUGAGUGCCAAUGGUCUAUCUCCCAAGUCUUGCUGCAAAGCUGUCCUUCUAGUUAAGGUAAAACAAAUAAAAUGUAAUGUGUGCUAUUUCCACAUUGAAAUAGGUUAGAUACUAGGAAGAAAUGACCUGGAGACCAAUAUCAAAGAAGGAGAGUAUAAAUGGUAUACUUAAUGUCUACAUGUAUGUCUGUGUGUAAUGAGUGUGUGUGUAAUUGUAUGAAUUUGUGUGUCUAUGUACAUACUUGGUGAAUGUCUGUGAUUGUGUGAGUAUGUAUCUACCUGCGAGUGAUUGUGUGAAUGUGUGUAUUUCAAUCCUGGGCCCAGGAUUGCAUACUUCCUGGUGGAGUCACAAACUCAUACCUUCAUUAGAAAGCCAAGCUAGUCCCCAGCUUCCUGUGCAUUCGUGUGUGUGUGUGUGUGUGUGUGUGUGUGUGUGUGUGUGUGUGUGUGUGCGCGCUGUUGGCUGCAUCCUGCUGUGUGGCACUGAGGGACAGACAACUUUGCCAGGCCUGUUUUGUAAACAAAUCUGUCAGCCUAGCGUUUUUCAGCCCUCUGUACAUUGGUUCUGCUUUUCCCACCAACAUAGAGACAUUUCGAAGCUUGUUUCCUUUUAGAAAUAGACAAGAAAAUUUGCACAUGACUGAAAUAGGCAGUCUACCCCAUAGAAGUCUUUGGGUUGUCACAAUUUUAAGCUUAGACCAUGAAUUCUGAAAGUGAAUUGCAGCUACUCCAGAGCCCCCCACCACCCUGGUCAAUGCUCAGGAGAAAAGGGAAGAACCUUUGCCCUCAGAGCUCCUUCUGGGCCAUAAUGGGAUUAGUCACCUAAGAUGAGAAAGUGUGAUGCAGGUUUCCCCAGAGUGCGUGAGUCAUCCCCUUGAUAGACGAGAGUACGAACUUGAAACAUCUACCGGUAGUCUCUACAUGGUUGAUUUAAUAUCUCAUCCAGGUUCAAGUUUUUAUGGCAGGAAAUGUGUGUGAAUGGUUAAGAUAGGAGUAAAUAAUACUUGAUCUUGUGACUAUAAUACAGGGAGGAACUUUUAAUACCAAAUAAAACUUUGGGUGGGGGAAAGUUCUGUCUUAAAAAUGUAGCACACAUCAGUUUUCCAGAAUCUUGCAUGUAGUUGUUACUCUGUCUUAAGUGAAGCAAAUAGCAGAAUGAGCUCUGUAACUUUCUUGUUAAUACCUUUGGUUUUGGAAGACAUUUUUAAGUAUUUUUCUGUGACCCAACAUGAUAUACAGAACUAUUAAAUGUGGCAGAGGAGGAGAGGGAAAUCAAAUCCAGGGCAUCAAACGUACUAGGUAAGCGCUUGGCUGCCAAGUAGUAAUGAUUCUAUGUGGGACGUUGUUGACCAAGUAGAGAUGUACAUGGCAUUGAAAUACGGGAUGAUACCUAGACCAAGGAGACUCCAAAGUGUCACCUUAGACACCAUACUUUACAGGCACUUGGGAAAGGCAAUUUUAUGGGACAGGAAGGAUGUAGCUGAGGAAGUUCAAAGGGAGAAGAAUUUUGUAAAACUCAAGUAUAUUGCUAGUCAUUGGGACUUCUUCUAGAGGGUGCUUUUCCUUGAAGAAAAAACAGGCACAAGGGAAGAGGGCAUUUUAGAGCUCCCACCAACCCUGCUCAUGCUUCCCCAGGAUGAAUGGACUGCAGAGAUUAAGGUGUCUAGUUCCUUAUGCAUUUGCAGCCUCUGCUGGCUGGGCUCUGUUGUCACUGAGCAAGGAUAUAGAUGUGAAGGCCCAGACUUGAGCCCCCUUCCUCCACCCUGCUUGAAAACGGGUCCUCUGAAUCCUUCUGCUUCUCAAAUGUAGUGUCUCAAAUCCAGCAGGUAAAGUUUGUAAGACACAUGUCACUGUGGACAGACUGACCUGUUCAUUCUAGACUUGUGUUAGCACUUCAUUAUUAGAAAUUUCAGUUAAAGAUUGUAGAAAACUAUGUUUGCAAGUGACAUGUUCAAGAAAUGGCCUCGUUAGGACCGCUCUGUGGCUUUUAGGCAGGUCCCUGGUGCUCUUUCACUGGAGGCGCACCUCCUUGGAGGUAGCUGGAGAACAAGUCAAGAUCAAGGUCCCAUGACUUGGAGUGCUGUGUCCACUAUCCACUGAUAGUGGCUCAGCUUAGGAAAGUCCUCAAGCUCCCUGGGUUCCCUUACCUGUAGGAUGGGGGCAGAGGUAAUAGACCUUAGCCUGUAAGGUUUCUCUGAGAAUAGCUUGGGUAGUGCCUGAGCCAGGCCUGUGUGUCACAGACAAUUAAUCUGGUCCAAAUAGAUUGGGUGACCUUCGUAAGAGCAGGUGAGCAAAAGGAGCUGGAACCCAGCUCUGGCUUCCUACCUGCAUGAGGCCACUGUGUCUCCUGUCCAUAAAAAUGCUGUGAAGAGUCCCGAGUGUUUGCAUUAUCUAAAGGGGAACUUUGAGCCAAUGUAAGUUUGGGGAGCACUUUUGUAUUGGGGUUUAGUUUGUUUGAAGAUGGUGGACCCUAUACACUUGAACAUUUCAUGUCCACAACGAUGCAAAAGUGACAACGAGACCUGGAUCAUCCUUGGAAUUCAGUCACAUUCUGAGUGUCCAGUCUACCCAGCCGUUCUUCCUCAGUGAGUCACUUCCAGAAAUGAAUAGCCGCAGAUUUUGGAAUGAGCAUUGUGAAAUCCCUCGUUUAUAAUGGCAGGUUUUCAGUUGGUGGCUUGAUCAGACAGUUUCUCAAGAUCAAAAUGAGACCUUGUCUUUAAAAAGAAAAAAAAUGGAAAAAAAAAAAAACAGAAAGUAAAUCCCUUGGAUUCAGAAAGCAAAAGUCUCCCACUGAAGAACUGUCAGAGCUGAUCUAGCCACCUCUGUAUCAAGUUGUGUGUCCUUAUAUUUGCCUGCAUGGAUGAGUUCUUGGAAUUACCGACCUCUCGCCAGUACUAGCUGGUGAUUUCCGAUGCAGAAGGUCACUAACGACAUGAAACGGCCCUCUUCUGGGGCAAGACCAGCCUGUGCUUGGGGAUCCUUGGGUGACCGAUCAACCGUGAGUAUGUGCGACAACGGUUUCUGGUUCUCAUUGAAUCUUGCCUAGAAACUUCUAAAUGGCAUUCUAUCUAAGGAAGAGCUUCUAAGAACUGUCUGUGCUAGUGUAUUUGUAAUACAUUUCACUUAUCAUGGAAAGUACUGUGGGUGUGAUCAUAACUACAAAACCAAACAUAACCUAUGGACAACUAUGGAAACUAAGUAUUCAGAUUUCUUUUGACCUUUAUAGCAUACAGAUAAAAAUGCAGUUUUGGUGUACUAAGUGCUUCUUUAUUAUUUAAAGCAUAAUAGGAAAUAGAUAAGUAUAUUGUAGGGAAAAAAAAAAACGAAAGAUGCGCAUUUGUGGCAAGUGAUGUAAUAUUUAUGUGAGAGAGACUUGUGAGUCCUGAUACCCUGAUUGUAUUCCAGUGCUAGCAAAUGAGCUUCACUCAUAAGAGAGCUUCGCUCUCAGAAGAGAGCGAAGAUGGUCUGCUGAACCUGUGUGAAAGCAGAGGCUGAGAGAAGAUGGCCAUGAGGCUGUAUAUACAGUCUGCCUCUGUCUCCUAAUCACAUCCUCAAAUUACAUCCUGGGGGUGCUUGAUGGGCGAUUCUGUGGGUGUUCUCAUUCUCCCACCAGAGGGCUGAGUAGAAGGUAGAGUCGGUGUGUCUAUUUAUUGAGUGGACUGAGUUAUGACCCAGUGCCUUAGAGUUACAGUUAUCAGUCUGUUCUGGAUGCUGAACCCCCUUGAGAUUCUGGUCAAGCCCAUGAAUUCCUUUGACUGCAUCGAUACACAACAUUUGGUUGUCCUUGGAGACAUCCAUAGACACAGAAAAGCCUCUGUGAUGUGCCAGGUGUAGGAGGUUGAGCUGGACCCUGGAGCCUUACCCUGGCUGGGCUGGUAGGCUUCCUAAAGAAUUGCUGUUAAGAGCAAGAAAUAACCAGGCCACAAGUCACUCCAUGAGGCUUCUGGGAGGAGAUCAGAGCCAGAGAAAAGGACAAAGGAUGGAGGACAUGUGACUACCAAUAAAUAUUAGAAAGUGCUUCUUGUUAGGAGUGUCACAUGUGGGGCCUGGAACCCUGUCUAUUUAGCCAGGUAACUAUUUAGUCAGGUAAUUAUGAGUUCAGGAUAGAGACCUAAAGACUCAUAGUAAGCAACUUUGACUAGUUUUUCUCAAAUUAAUUUUUCCUCAUCUUUUUUUACACCAUAAAAUCGGGAAGUCUUUCUCUCCUUCCCUCCCUCUUUUGUUAGUUUUUCCAUGGUGUAUGCCCCAAAUGAGGUAGGAGCACAAGGAUUUAACUCCUGACACUCAUAGAAAGUCAGAGAGAGAGUUACACUCCUGGGUAAGCGUGUGAGGACGUGUUGAAUGCAAAAGGAACAAUGUUUGAAAAAAAUCCAGUCUUUAUUGUUCAUUAGCUCCAUUGAAUACCUUCAGAGCCAUGGCGGAAAAGGAAGACGACAUGAAUCUUGAGUGUGUUAAAAGGAGUGUAACAUGAAGGCUAAAGGAUGGGUUUGACAUUAGUCAGAGCCACUGUACUCAGUUUGAGUCAUGCUCGAAGACAGAUGUUGGGCGAUUGUGAAGUACAGAUACCCAAUCAACAGAAUUGCACACCCUUCAAGGAAAAGAUAAGAAACAGAGGGUUUUAGUCGGAAGAAAAGGGAGGAUCUGUUGCUGACGGUCAUAUAUACUGACUGCUUGCUUUCUCGUCUCCUUGGGCCUCCAUGCUGCCCAUUUCCCUUCACGUGCAGCACAGUGCAUAGCUGCUGGUUUAGGAAUGCUUGUAACCCUUUAGUGAGAGCCUCACUGGGAGUAAAUACACCCAGAUAAAUCCAAAGAGCUCUUGCUAUGAUGUAGGAAUAAUUAAUGCGUCUUCUGGCUGUGGUAAAUAGGUAAGGUGAUAAAAUAGUUGAGCUGAGGGAUGCGAUGAAAUCUUAAGUGGGAAUUUUCUCAGAGUGGAAGAAAGUAAGUAACUAUUUUGAGUGGUAGGACAUUUAUUCUUCCAACAGUCACUCAGGGCCAAUUGUAGUAGACAAGUACAAAAGGAAGACUAUGGUGCUUGGUUACACUGCUGUGGGACAUAAAGCAGCAUGUGGUGGGGGCUUGUGACAUUCAACCACCACCCUGUGUGACCUCCUGAUGGAGUUGAAGUCCAGAAUGCCUCCUUAAAGGGCAGCCGUUGAGGUUAGCAAGAUGGAGUAAGUGGUGAGCCAUCCCCAUGAGGACCUGGUACAUAGGGGCACAGACCUAGGAGGUGUGCCAGAAGGCAUGGGUCCCAAAAGGAAUGAUGAGAGCAGACACUGGGGAAGCCCUUGUUUACACAAGACAAGUGUGCCACAAGUGGUGGCCUGAUGAUUUCCAAGAGGGUGGCCUGGUGGGAUGUACAACUUAGACAGAUAACCAGGCAGCAGUGAAGAGGACUUCAUUUGGAGUUUGUGCAGGUAAAUGGCUAAGGGAAGACAGGUCAGGCAGGGUAAAGAGACUCCUGAUGUGUAAGUAGGGGAUUCCCAAGAGAGCAAGCAGUAAGCAGAUGGGUAAGGCAAAAUUGGCGCAGUGGCCUAGUUGCUGUCCAGCAUCACUCACUGUGGAACCGUGGAA
rnacentral:lncRNA from 1 species